UGCGUAGGCGGACACGUCAGUGCUUUGUGAAAUCCCACGGCUCAACCGUGGAAGUGCUGGGCAUACUGCGUGUCUUGAGGUCGGUAGAGGUUGCCGGAACUGUAGGUGUAGCGGUGAAAUGCGUAGAUAUCUACAGGAACACCCAUGGCGAAGGCAGGCAACUGGACCGAUUCUGACGCCGAGGCACGAAAGCGUGGGGAGCAAACAGGAUUAGAUACCCUGGUAGUCC
rnacentral:rRNA from 1 species